rfam:Anopheles dirus strain WRAIR2 unplaced genomic scaffold supercont1.26, whole genome shotgun sequence.
CCAACAGUCCUUUUCAGGACUACCAAAUGAGUUACAAAAGAAUUAG